AUUGAACGCUGGCGGCAUGCCUUACACAUGCAAGUCGAACGGUAACAGGUCUUCGGAUGCUGACGAGUGGCGAACGGGUGAGUAAUACAUCGGAACGUGCCUAGUAGUGGGGGAUAACUACUCGAAAGAGUGGCUAAUACCGCAUGAGAUCUACGGAUGAAAGCAGGGGAACGCAAGACCUUGUGCUACUAGAGCGGCCGAUGGCAGAUUAGGUAGUUGGUGGGAUAAAAGCUUACCAAGCCGACGAUCUGUAGCUGGUCUGAGAGGACGAUCAGCCACACUGGGACUGAGACACGGCCCAGACUCCUACGGGAGGCAGCAGUGGGGAAUUUUGGACAAUGGGCGCAAGCCUGAUCCAGCAAUGCCGCGUGCAGGAUGAAGGCCUUCGGGUUGUAAACUGCUUUUGUACGGAACGAGAAGCCCCGGGUUAAUACCCUGGGGUCAUGACGGUACCGUAAGAAUAAGCACCGGCUAACUACGUGCCAGCCGCCGCAGUAA
rnacentral:rRNA from 1 species